AUUAUGUGAUCAGUAGCAGCCAUCAUAUUCAUACCAGUGUUCGUGUAGGGGGCUCCCAGGGUUUAUAUAUACAGUACAAUGUUUUCUCGUCUGAUAUCUUGAGCUCCCAGGCGAAGUACUGAAGUUAGUUUUGAUCCAAAUACCAUGAUUACAUGCGGAUAUAUAGGUUUCUUGUAAAAGUUUGGUUAAAGAUUCUGUAGUGCAAACUGCAAACGCCUGUUCAUAUAAAAUUUGUCAAACUCCAAGACGAAGCCAGCAAUUGCUAUAUUCGCUGACGAAAGCAAGCGUACAUGUGUUUCCAUUGAGCUGAGCUCCAGCGCCG
rnacentral:lncRNA from 1 species